rnacentral:rRNA from 1 species
AACGCGAAGAACCUUACCUGGGCUCGAAAUGUAGUGGAAUCCGGCAGAAACGUCGGCGUCUAGCAAUAGACCGCUAUAUAGGUGCUGCAUGGCUGUCGUCAGCUCGUGUCGUGAGAUGUUGGGUUAAGUCCCGCAACGAGCGCAACCCUUAUCUUCAGUUGCUACCAUUUAGUUGAGCACUCUGACGAAACCGCCUCGGAUAACGGGGAGGAAGGUGGGGAUGACGUCAAGUCCUCAUGGCCUUUAUGUCCAGGGCUACACACGUGCUACAAUGGCCGGUACAAACCGCUGCAAACCCGCGAGGGGGAGCUAAUCGGAAAAAGCCGGCCUCAGUUCGGAUUGGAGUCUGCAACUCGACUCCAUGAAGCUGGAAUCGCUAGUAAUCGUGGAUCAGCAUGCCACGGUGAAUACGUUCCCGGGCUUGUACACACCGCGCAUA